GAGCGGUAGAGAGAAGCUUGCUUCUCUUGAGAGCGGCGGACGGGUGAGUAAUGCCUAGGAAUCUGCCUGGUAGUGGGGGAUAACGUUCGGAAACGGACGCUAAUACCGCAUACGUCCUACGGGAGAAAGCAGGGGACCUUCGGGCCUUGCGCUAUCAGAUGAGCCUAGGUCGGAUUAGCUAGUUGGUGAGGUAAUGGCUCACCAAGGCGACGAUCCGUAACUGGUCUGAGAGGAUGAUCAGUCACACUGGAACUGAGACACGGUCCAGACUCCUACGGGAGGCAGCAGUGGGGAAUAUUGGACAAUGGGCGAAAGCCUGAUCCAGCCAUGCCGCGUGUGUGAAGAAGGUCUUCGGAUUGUAAAGCACUUUAAGUUGGGAGGAAGGGCAUUAACUUAAUACGUUAGUGUUUUGACGUUACCGACAGAAUAAGCACCGGCU
rnacentral:rRNA from 1 species